rnacentral:lncRNA from 9 species
GUGUGUGUGUGUGUGUGUGUGUGUGUGUGUGUGGCUGUGGCUGGGUCACUUUGCUUUAUAGCAGAAAUCGACAGAACAUUGUAAAUCAACCAUACCUUAAUAAAAAAAUUUUUUAAAGAGAUGAGGUUCUGGUGAUAGAAUCUCAGAAAUCAGCUGGGUGGCUGUGAGCAUGCUUGAAUGGACCUUUAGAAGUUUUGCUUUAAGUGGACCAUGCAGGCAGGGACAUAGAGUCAGGAGCCCAGACGAUGGAGGGGGCUGGGCCAGGGGGGAAUUUUGCAAUCCUGUGGUAGACUGGAUGAUUAGUGUCCUUGCAAAAGCAAAUUCAGCUCUUGAGCAGGAGUGUGAACCAAUAUUUGCUAAACAAACUGUGUGCCAAGGAUUGUGCCAAGGCAUCCAAGAAAUAAAACGAUAAAAAAAGGGCUGGCGUCUGUUUCCCAAAAGCAAACAACUGAACCAGAAGAAAAGUCACAUGUUCAGAUAGCUCUGAUCCACAGCAGAGUUUGAAGAGCGUCGUUAAAAUGAGGGUAAAACUGCAGAGAUGGGGAGAUGAAUUCCCACUGGAGAUGUUCUAGUUCAUCAAAAAAUCUGCUAAAUAUAGCGUUGUGUGUACAGGCAACGAUCCUAAGUAUUCAAAGAAUGAAAGCACGAUAAAAUAUACACUAAAAUAAAUAAAUAACACUAAUCCUUUUUCCCUGAUGGUUCAGAAAUAACUUGAGUUGUAUAGAGAUUUGGGACACCCCCUCCCUUAUAGCUGUCAAACGUCAUUGAACUUUAGAUGGGAGACGGGUUGUUUCAUAAAAUAUUCUGGUUAAUUGACUUCUCAUCAUUCAUCUGUUAUUUCUGGGACACAAGUAGGAUGCAGGUGGCUCACUUUUUCUCAUGGUUUACAGAUUUAUGGACUUCCUCAGAUGCAGACACUAGAACUUGACAUGAAAUUCAGAAUUUCCUGACUUUGGAACAGAUGGAAAUGGUAUAAGAAAAAGCAAGGAUUGGGUAUGCUUUGAAAAAUGGAAAGUUGGGAGAAUAGACCAUUGUACAAAAAGCAAGGAUUGGGGAGUUCCCGUCAUGGCGCAGCGGAAACAAAUCCAACUAGGUACCAUGAGGUUGCGGGUUCAAUCCCUGGCCUCUCUCAGUGGGUUAAGGGUCCAGCAUUGCUGUGAGCUAUGGUGUAGGUCACAGACAUGGCUCUGAUCCCACGUUGCUGUGGCUGUGGUGUAGACCAGCAGUUGCAGCUCCGAUUGGACCCCUAGCCUGGGAACUUCCAUAUGCCACAGGUACAGCCCUAAAAAGCAAAAAAUAAAUAAAUAAAAAACAUUCAGCACAAAAAUCCUUACUAAAAUCCUAACUAAAAAUAGUUACUUAGGGAGUUCCCGUCGUGGCGCAGUGGUUAACGAAUCCGACUAGGAACCAUGAGGUUGCAGGUUCGGUCCCUGCCCUUGCUCAGUGGGUUAACGAUCCGGCGUUGCCGUGAGCUGUGGUGUAGGUUGCAGACGCGGCUCGGAUCCCGCGUUGCUGUGGCUCUGGCGUAGGCCGGUGGCUACAGCUCCGAUUCAACCCCUAGCCUGGGAACCUCCAUAUGCCGCGGGAGUGGCCCAAGAAAUAGCAACAACAACAACAACAACAACAACAACAACAACAACAACAAGACAAAAAAAGACAAAAAAAAAAAAGUUACUUAGGGGUUCUCUUUAUCACUGCCACACACUCCAUGAGCAUCCACGGAAUGGUGAGUGUCUGACUUGGCGCAGCAGGAGGGACGCCAGCUCUGAGCUAAGUGGAAAGUAACACAGGGAAAGUGUUGAUUUGGACCUGUCAUCGACCUGCUUAGAAUCCUUGAAGCGUUCCCCUGGUUCUGAAGGUAAAAUCAAAGCCACCCUCUGGAGAUGUUGUACCGAGGUGUUUAAUCCUCCUCUCCAUUUUCCUUCCUUAUCUUAAAUACUCAGAGUCCCAGCCAGUCUGAAAACUGGCUCCCCACCCAUUCUUACCUUUCUUUUUAUAGCUGCUUAGAACGAUAACUCUCAGAAAACUACAGGGCAAGGAGGCAAAUGGGAGGGAGUGGCAACCUCAGAUCCUGGGAAGUAGCUCACCCUAGAUAAGAGCGCCUUCUGGAAGGCUGGGAGUAGCGCGCUGCUGAGCAAUGCACGCCACAGACUGGGAAGUUUCUCGAAGCCGAGAGGUUCAGAACGUGGGAGAACUAAGCCAACAGAACAAAAUCCGCAUCAGAAAAGACAGAAAAGCUGAGGAAAUCAUUGCAACACGGGAUGUAGAAGGGUAAAAGACCAACCAUUUCAGUAACCUGAAAUGUACAAUUCUUGCGUUAGGAAUGUCAUUUUCGGGUUAGGUUUAAAAAGGUAAUACUCGGACUACAUUUGGCUUAAUUAAAAUAAGGGGCCCCAUACAAGGUCCCAAAGGUACAGCACAGGGAACUUUCUCCAAUAGACUGAGAUAACCCGUAAUGGAAAAGAAUACACAAAAAAAGAAUAUAUGGUAUAGUUUUGAAUCACUUUGCUUACAUAAGAAGCUAACGUGGCAUGGAAAUCAACUAUACU